rnacentral:rRNA from 1 species
CAAAUAAAUAAAAACUUUCAACAACGGAUCUCUUGGUUCUGGCAUCGAUGAAGAACGCAGA